AGAUUUGUAAAUAAAAAUCUAGCUGUUAUUUUUCAACUUGCUGAAUGUGCAAGUCAGUAGAAGAGUGCCGCUGUAAAACUCUGCUUAUCACGGAUCCUCCGUCACCCGCUUCCUGUGGGAAGUUUACAGUCCAAAUAUGGGCUUCGUGACGUCAAGUUCUUCCUCUGAGGGAGCGUCAGUUGCCCCGCCCACUUCAUCUGGAGCGUUGCGCAGAGGCGCGUUCCCGACACUCACGAGCAACACCUGCUUAACAAGCAAGCAGUUCAGAAAUCCACACACAAUGACAAAUAACACGAACUGAAUCCCACACAGAAGAACACAUACAGAAAAUGCCUUUUCUAUCAUAUAAUAAUAGUCAACAAUAAUUAGUUGUUAAACGCCGGUCUCUAAACCAGGUUGACAUGGAUACGAGCCAGUAAAGAUAAUGUAAGCUGAUCCUGCGUGUGAGAGAGAUCUGCCUGAGGCCGGAUCACAUUUACGGGUGCCAGUGCCAUCAUCUUUAGGCCACUGCUGUACUGUGUUCAUCAGAUGAUGUCACCGCUGGUGUCAGGGCCAAUCACAGGUCUCCCCUCAGACUCGACCGCGUCUCUGCGUCAGCAGAAAAACACAAGAUAUUUGCUGGAGAUGCGCUGAAGAGCGUUAAACACUGAAGCAGCAGUCAGCAGAAAACAAGGGCUGAGCGCCUCCAGACAGACGAGGGUUAGAGAGGGUCAGAGAGCCAACGCUUCACUGAAACUCACACACAGAAGAGCGUCUGUAAAUACACUGACCUGUCAUGACCACACAAACCGAGCAAUUAACAGCCUGGUAAUGAUGAGUAAUGUCCAUCUCACCAGUACUCUGUGUAAAAAACAGUCCACUAUUAAUCAUACCGAUCUAUUUAUAAUCAAUAAAAUAUAUGAAUAAUUAACAUUUCACUUGUCUUGCUUGUCUUCAUUCUGGAGGAGCUUACAAACCCUAUUUUCUUGGAGAUCUGAAGCAUGUUUGUGAUGCUGGAAACACGAGACACAGGGCAAUGCAAUUACAAUUAUUAUUUUUUCAUUUAUUUUUUGGUUGCACCGCUUUUGCAUUUAUCAUUUUCUGUGUAAAGACUCGAUAACACCUUUAUACAAUCCCAUUUUCACCACACGAUUAAUAAACAUAUAUAUCACAAUGUUGCGAUUUUUUUUCAUGCCAUUGCGGGUUUAUUU